AGCGAACGCUGGCGGCAGGCUUAACACAUGCAAGUCGAACGGGCGUAGCAAUACGUCAGUGGCAGACGGGUGAGUAACGCGUGGGAACGUACCUUUUGGUUCGGAACAACCCAGGGAAACUUGGGCUAAUACCGGAUAAGCCCUUACGGGGAAAGAUUUAUCGCCGAAAGAUCGGCCCGCGUCUGAUUAGCUAGUUGGUGUGGUAACGGCGCACCAAGGCGACGAUCAGUAGCUGGUCUGAGAGGAUGAUCAGCCACAUUGGGACUGAGACACGGCCCAAACUCCUACGGGAGGCAGCAGUGGGGAAUAUUGGACAAUGGGCGCAAGCCUGAUCCAGCCAUGCCGCGUGAGUGAUGAAGGCCCUAGGGUGUAAAGUACUCUUUUGUGCGGGAAGAUAAUGACGGUACCGCAAGAAUAA
rnacentral:rRNA from 1 species